AACAGUCAGGAUGCAGUGGAUGUUAGUCGCGUGCGUCUGUUGUGACGCCGGUCCCUUUAAGCGGUUUGUUCUGUUGUAAAAUGGCGGCUCGUUAGUGUGUGUUGACCUCAGGUGUGCGAUGCGUGAAGUCUUAAUGAACAGGUGUAUGGCCUCGGCCUCGGUUUUGUCAGUAGCCUACAGGGGAGUCUGGUGUGGAAUCGGUGGUGGUGUGGGCCCCGGGGUGCUGGAUCUUGUGGCAGUGUGAGGAGGGGGGGUGUUUAUGUGUUGUUCCCAGGCUUCUGGCAGUGCUGGGUUGUGGGUGAACUGGGCAGAACUGUGGUAGCAGGACAAGAUGUCUGUCAGGAUGGUGUGGUGAAGUGUGGUGUCUGUGUUGGAGCUGUGCAUUUUUUCCUCUUAUCAGCUGUGCUGAGGGUAGGUAACUGUGAUGCAACCAAAAAUGGGAGUAGUUGUUGUCGUCGUUGUUGUACUAAAAGUGAGGUUGUUGACAUGUUGAAGGUCAUGUUUUGAACGGUUGUAAGAAGUUGCUUAUGUGCAAGUCCCUGACGGUGUUAUGUCAUGUCAUUUUGAGUUUAAUUCCACAAAGAUGUAGCUUUAUUAGGUUAUUUAUCAGUGUUUAUUCAGCCACGGUCUGGUCCCUGUGUCGUGUUGUCUUUCCUGCAGUGCGGUGUCUUUUUUUGUCCACAGACUGUAUUCUGAACUGUACCACUUGUAUGUUUGUGUAUGUGCAGUAAGCACAGAUGGCCAGACACUGUCAGUAGUGUUGUCUGUAGUUGUGUUCUCCUCUGUGUCUGUAUGGAAGUGCUCCCUUUGAAUUGUGUCAGUGUUUGGGACUUGAAUGUGGUGGGCAAUGUGGGGUUUGAUUUGUGACAAAUAAAGGUGACUGUUGUACCCAGCAUUUUGGUCUGUGUGUUGUUGAUGCCUGUUGUUGAUUGGCCAAAUAACAAUUGUAGCAAUUGAUCAUGCACUGUUUAAUGUGUUUGUAGCAGGAAUAUGUCAAUGUGGUAAAGAAGCAACAACAUUAGAGUUUGAAAUGUUCACUGUUUGUUGAAUGAGUGAAAACAUUUGGGGUACAUGGCAGCAUUUAAGGUAAAAGUGAAGUUAUACUGUGUAUUCAGUUAUGACAAGUGGUUGCACUUGAAUAUUGGCUGAAUGUUGUUUUGGUUUAGGAAUGGACAGAGUAAAGCAUGUGUUAGUGAGUAAAAAAAACCAAACCAAAAAAAACCCACACAAAUAGACAUGAGCUGAAUCUUUGUAACUGGAAAAAAAUAGGUUUUUACCCAUGUUGAAGUUGUUUAGUUUAGCAGAAAUGGAAUCUUCCUGUGUGUGUGUGUGUGUGUCUCUCUGUGUUUUGUGCAUUUGAUUGCUGUUGUAUGUUAUCUGGCUGUUGUGGUUCUUUGUGCAGUGUGUUGCAGCAGUAUGACAUUGGUUUGAUUGCAGCUUACAGUGUGAUGUGAACAGUAAAUGGUUUCUGAAUGAGUUGUGCAGUAGUGGUUUAGUUUGGUUGCAGAAUAUAUCCUUGUGCUAUCUAUGUACCAGAUAAUUUGACUAAGUAAUUCAAAGAACAUUGUUGUAUACAGUUUGGUUUAUUUGUUAAGAUAUAUUGCACAUGUUUACUAACAAACAAAAUGACCUGUUGUAAUGUUUAUUAAUGUGAUGGCUAGGAUUGUAUGUAUUUGUCUCAAUGGCUGUAUCUAUCUCACCUGUGGUUGGUGAUUUUGUUAGGGAUAUGGUUUUGAAGUGCCUUCAGUGUC